UAUAUUGGUAGCAUUUUUCUACAAAAUUAAAGAAAACAGUGUUCAACAAUUUUUUACAACUUGAGAUGAAUGUUAUUAAGAGUUCGUAAUCGCUGCCUAGUGUAGGUGCAGUUGCAUAUGGCUGCAACUCAGCCUGCAAGUGUCAUUUGUUGAUAACUCUUUUACAAUGUUUACGGGGGUUCAAUCAACAUCAUACCGACAUAAUUAAAUAGCUUGAAUUAAGAAUCGGACGACACACCUUAUCGCUUUCGGGGGUAUGGAAUAAAAUCGUUACUGUUCCAUCAUAAAUCUCCAAGGCCUUUUCCACAAUUGAGCCGGCCAAAGCUUGUUCCCAGUCUCCACCAGGCAAAAACCCUAUAUGGAUAAUUGUUCGCGUCAUGUUGCCACAAAGUAAACUGGAAAAUAAGAAAUCCGUGGACACCAAUCAAAAUUCAAAGUCGUAAGUGGAGUCAGUUUAGCGCAAUAGGUGUUGAGUUGGAAGAUAUUUUUUCCGCUUACUGGAUUUCAAGGAGGGCCAGUCUUGGAAAGCCACGGGCACUUCCUCCCAUUUUUGACCGAUGGCUGUUAGCAGCAGACGUACGUAUUCUCCACGGCCUCGAGCACCCUCCCAGUACAUCAGUUUAUAAUUAGGCAUUGUGCCGGUAUCUGAGCUGAAAGGGUUAACGAAUUAUUUUUAAUUCCACAGAUAUAAUCCGAACAGAUUUUAAAAAACUACAAGGUCACCUUUUUUUAGCUAACUUGACAGUUUGAUACAGAUUUUGCAUUACUUGUAGUUAUUUUUUUCUUGCAUGCCCAAAAUUAUAAUAAUUUUAAAUUAUGAUGAUAAUCAUAACCGACUGAAAAUCUGACCACCAGAUUAAUAAAACGAAUUUGAAAAAAGCAGUAUUUAUAAAUUAUAAUUAAUAAACAAACCUUUCCCAGCAGAAAUACCUGAGUAGCCUGGCUAAUGUAGAGGCUGUAGAGAACCGGGAACUUCCAAUACUGGCACGAAUCGCAAAGUGGAUAGCAAAAUGCUCGAGCAAACAUCAUCGCUUACAUCGAUAACUCUUGGUUUAUAUAUGAAACCUGUAAACCCUAACGACCUUGGUAUUCACAAGUAAUUUGUGGAUAAUACCAUCUUAAUAAAGCUGAUUAACCAUUGAAACUGUUGGUUUUCAACUUUAAACGAUCAGA